rnacentral:RNase_P_RNA from 1 species
GUAACGCCUGGGGGGCGCAAGCCUACGACAAGUGCAGCAGAGAGAAGACCGCCGAUGGCCCGCAAGGGAACAGGUAAGGGUGAAAGGGUGCGGUAAGAGCGCACCGGACGACUAGUAAUAGUUCGUAGCAGGGUAAACUCCACCUGAAGCAAGACCAAAUAGGCCUCCACAUUGCGUUGCUCGCGUAAGGAGGCGGGUAGGUUGCUCGAGCCAGUGAGUGAUUGCUGGCCUAGACGAAUGGCUACCGCCGCGCAAGCGGAACAGAACCCGGCUUAUGUGUCGG